GCGAAUAUAGCUCAGUUGGUAGAGCACCACGCUGUUGUGUUGGAGGUCACUGGUUCAAAUCCGGUUAUUCGUU
rnacentral:tRNA from 1 species